rnacentral:lncRNA from 1 species
AUGGCUUCUGGAUUUUGUGUGAGGGUGCUGUUGCUCACACUAUUAGUAUUUGGGCAGCAUGCAAAGGCACUCACCUACAGAAGUGGAGGCUCCAGCGGCAUUGAACCUCACUUUGAGCUAGCUGAAGACUUCCCGAGGAGCUACAAACCUGCUCAAGCUCCUUCCAGUUAUGAGAGCUCUGCACAGCCUCUGGGUAGUUAUGGACCCAGUUACACUGAAAGCGCUUCAUCUGCAUACCUGAAGCCUGCUACUGCACCUAGUGUAGGAAGGUUAAGUGGUUCCUAUGAGGGGCGAGGAAAUGGCUACAGUCCUGAAGGAAGUGUUUCUAGUUCCAUGCCUCACUUGCUAAUGCUUCAAAAACCCAGCCAAAACUCACAGCAGCCACACUAUCAACCUAAUUCUAAUCUAAAGGGUGUCCCCCAGACCAAAGCUGGCAUGUGGGACUUUGCUUUACCACAAAAAGGGAACGGAUUUGAGUCGGGUAUUGUUUCAAGCAACGGAAUUCAGAUGCAUUCUGAUCAGCAACCGACCAAGCCAGCCUACCCUGGCAAGCCCCAGCCCCAGCCCCAGCCCCAGCCCCGACCCCAGCAGCCCGCCUACCCUGGCAAGCCCCAGCCCCGACCCCAGCAGCCCGCCUACCCUGGCAAGCCCCAGCCCCAGCCCCAGCACCCGGCCCAGCCCCGACCCCAGCAGCCCGCCUACCCUGGCAAGCCCCAGCCCCAGCCCCAGCCCCAGCCCCGACCCCAGCAGCCCGCCUACCCUGGCAAGCCCCAGCCCCAGCCCCGACCCCAAGCCCCAGCAGCCCGCCUCACCCCGGCAAGCCCCAAGCCCCAGCCCCGACCCCAGCCCCAGCAGCCCGCCUACCCUGGCAAGCCCCAGCCCCAGCCCCGACCCCAGCCCCAGCAGCCCGCCUACCCUGGCAAGCCCCAGCCCCAGCCCCGACCCCAGCCCCAGCAGCCCGCCUACCCUGGCAAGCCCCAGCCCCAGCCCCGACCCCAGCCCCAGCAGCCCG